rnacentral:misc_RNA from 1 species
GUAGGCAUAUAAGGUCCAUCACGUAUGUUGAAAAACAGGGGUACAUUGUUUACCACAACUAAAUUCAGAUGAUUUUGACAUUUUGCAACAAUGAGAGGAGACUUCUUUGGAAGCAGAUCUUCCAACACUGGCUCUAGUAGUGGGUACUCUUCUGCAAUGCUUUGACGAAUUCUACGCUGCACAGAUGCCUUGACUUGAUUUUGUCCAGACACUUCUUCAGUUGAAAACUUCUUGAACAUUUUCACGGGCUGACGAUGAGCGAGAGAGAGAGGGGGGGUUAGGG